rnacentral:rRNA from 2 species
GGGGAGGGUCCAUUUGGAAACUGGGGAACUUGAGUGCAGAAGAGGAGAGUGGAAUUUCCACGUGUAGCGGUGAAAUGCGUAGAGAUGUGGAGGAACACCAGUGGCGAAGGCGACUCUCUGGUCUGUAACUGACGCUGAGGCGCGAAAGCGUGGGGAGCGAACAGGAUUAGAUACCCUGGUAGUCCACGCCGUAAACGAUGAGUGCUAAGUGUUAGAGGGUUUCCGCCCUUUAGUGCUGCAGCAAACGCAUUAAGCACUCCGCCUGGGGAGUACGGUCGCAAGACUGAAACUCAAAGGAAUUGACGGGGGCCCGCACAAGCGGUGGAGCAUGUGGUUUAAUUCGAAGCAACGCGAAGAACCUUACCAGGUCUUGACAUCCUCUGACAACCCUAGAGAUAGGGCUUCCCCUUCGGGGGCAGAGUGACAGGUGGUGCAUGGUUGUC